AAAAGACCUGUUUUUCCAAAGAAACCAGGAAUUUCAAUACAAUUUGUCUGUCAGUUCGAUGUUAUUUUGGUAUGUGUAUCUAUUGAACGAUUUUCCAUAUUGUAAAUUUUAAAAAUACUCUGAAAAUAAACUACAUUCAGGGAAGACCACGAGAAGGUAAUACCAUCUGCUUUAGAUUAUAAUAUAUUAUAACUGUUGGGCUAAUUCGAUAGUCUUUCUAUUUUUGCAGCUAUACUUAUAAAUAUACCUACUAAAACAUUUGACAUUCGUGUAGCGAUCUAUAAUUAUUUUGAUGUGUUCAUCAUAUACCUACUGAUAACUAUGUACCUUCAUAUUUACGGUUAGAGGUGUUUACUAGUUUAAUUAUUGUAACGAUUACAAUAUAAAAAUCCCAUGUGUCUAAAACAAAAUAUAUAAUUAUCUAACAGUUGUACUGACAUCUGAUGAUAAUAUACUGUCUGUUUGCUUAGGUUAGUUAAAAAUAUUUAUCUGAAAUCGGAGUGUAUAUUAUAAAUUGUACUGAAGAGUCUAUUUUAUUCUAUUUUAGUAUAGAAAUGAGUUCAUUUGAAUUUUAUAAAAUGAUUUGACGAAAAAUCUACAGUAAAUUAUUUACAAAUUCACAAUUUACUGCCAGAUUAUAGUAUAAAACCAAAUUGUAAAAAUAUGAUUCUGAGAUUCUGACACAAAAGCUGUUAUCAGAAAAAAAAUGGAUUCUUGUAAACAAAGCGAGUACCAAAGUUUAAGGUGAUACAAAAAGGAUGCCAAACAUUCCAGUCUUUGUGUAAGUGCAAUUUAUUUUUUAUAAAUGUAUAAUACAUUAAUUCUAAAUUGUCACUUCAAUACAUUUUAGAUUUAAAUUAUUCUGAAUUUUUUAAGAUAAUAAUUUUCUAUAAUAUUGUAUAAGUCUUUUAUACUAACACAAUGUAAUUAAAAACUUUUAAUUUGCAUUUUUUUAAUUAACUUUUUUAUACAUAUUUAGAUUGUAUAAAUAUUUUUGUUCAAAAUCAUGUAUAUUUAUGAAAUGAAUCUGCAUAUUUUAUAGAUUUUUAUUGCAUUUAAAUAUAAGCCCUAAUAAUAAUAUUAAUGACUUAAAAGAUUUAUUAAAAAAAAAUAAUUGUUCGAACGCUGAACGAUUUGCCGCCAAUAAGCCUUGCUGGACACUAUAAAAGUGGCGGAUAUCUAAGUUCCUCGCAAGUUCCCGCCUCCGCUGUCUGAUGCUGUUGUUUUUUUUUUUUUGGCCUACAACUCCGGCUGUUCGCUCUCUAUUUUUUUAACAGUUGAUCUGAACGCAUCGUUGCGUUCCGUUUUCUGUCCCGUCUCCCGUGUGUGUCGCCGUGAAACAUUCGUGGCUAAUAUUUUGUUUUGCCAUGACUGUGACCAGCCGGCAAUCGCGCACAUACAAUCUUUUUAUUUUACAACCGUUUUGGCGGUUCUCGGUUAGCUCGGUUGUUACGUUCACCGUUUUACGCGUAAACCUCAUGUGAUCACAUUUAAAUUUGUUCUCCCGUGUUGCAACUGUCAUUCGAUCACCUUACCGAUCGAGAUCAAAAUUAAUACACAUCACCGAAGAUCAUCAUCAAGUUGCUGUCGCCGUUCCAACGCGAGACCACUGGUCGUCACUUAUAAGGUUGCAGCCCGUAGGGCCUUCCGGCCUUGUGCCACUGCACAGCUCGAACCGCCUUCAAGCCGGUGUGACACCGGCCCUAAGUGACAGACUCUAGCUGUUAUAAAUGACAGUCGUGUUGUGGCGGACAUCGGUUGCGGUGCAGACUCGAGUAAGUAGCGGUGGAACGGAUUUCCGCGACAUCAUGUAACGCAGUUCACAUUGCGACCGGUUGCAAAACGUGAUUGUAAAUAGUAGCGUUUCCGGGUACAUCGGUGUGCGUGUGUGCAGCUCAGUGACGCAACUAGAGUUCAAAUCUUGGAGUUGCUACAAUUAUGAAUUGCUAACAAAGUGGCUACAGGCUAUUUGACAUCGACUGGCAGAGCACCUAGGGGAACACGACGUAUCGGACACGAACUUAACGUACAAUAUACUUGGUGAAAUUCUAUCUAUUGUAUCAAUUGUUAUUUGUUUUUAAAUACAAUAAUAUAUCAACAAUUUUUUGAGAAAAAAUAAUUGCUUAAUAAUAUUAAUUAAACAAAUUAAUUUUAACUGUUUGAAAUUGCCUUUUCAGAAAAGAAAUAUAUUAUGUAAAUUAUUGAACUAUUA